CAGUGCAGUCACCCAUAAAGUAGAAAGCACUACUAACAGCACUGGAGGGUGUAGUGUUUCCUACUUUAUGGAUGAGUGUACUGU
ncrna:Gorilla gorilla (western gorilla) microRNA ggo-mir-142 precursor